CUGUCAGCCCCGGACUAAAAAUGUUAGUCGAUUCGCUUGUCAUUCGUUGCGUUAGCAUCGGAUAGUAGCGGUCAUUCUUUGUUAUGUCAUACUGGAAAUAUAUCUAUUAUAAUACAUAACGACUAAAUGGGAGAACAGUAUUGCACAUUACAGAGUUCUCUGGAAAGGACCUAGUUGUAUUUCAAAAGUCAAGAAUGAGAAUCUUCCAGCCUUUACUUCUUCUGUGGGAUUCGACGAUUCCUAUUUGAUGGCGGUUUUACGAUGACUAGUCUUAGACUCCAGCAGUGUUAGUGACAACGUUCGCCACAUCUAAUCGUAAGCCGGGAAGCUGCUCUUGACGACAGCGGGGAUGGAGUUCUUCAGGACGAGAAGAACCCACGCGUUCGGGAAUAUACCCGCUCGCCCCUCUAUUUCAGCUAAGAAGAGUUUUCUAAACCAACGUACCGACAGCUUUCUAUUGUUGUGACUCCACAUCCGCAUGUUCCAUGUACUUGGUAUCCGUGUAUAACUAUGUCUACCGCCGUUUUGAUUAAUUUCAACGUAACUAGAAUGUCAAUUGUGGCUGCAGUAACCAUUCCAAAAUUCCAUAAAUUCAUUUCAAAAUUUUGUCGCUUCUCGCGCUAUAGUGUUUAGAAUUACUGUUUUCCCUGUUGGAAACAUGACAUGGUCUUUAAAGGUGUCAACGUCCUUUUGCGUAUAUAUCCCACUCGUGGCUAGUGAUCUAAGUUGUGAUCAUUGUUCACAUAUCGGGAUCUAAAUUGUGAUCAUUAUUCGCAUAUCAUAUGUCCAUUAAAAAAAUAUGACGGUCGAAAUGGCCUAACGCAGAAGUAGCUUAGAAGCUCUGUACGACUCUGAGUGGUAGGAUGGAAGUAUUCCGUUCAAUGGACUAUAAAAUUCCUUUUCCUCUACUUGUUUAUGAUAAGUAACUCACAUUCAAUACCUAUAAAAGAUUUAGAUCGUUCGCGUGUUUCUAUAGUCGAUGACCUUAAUUCGUAUGUUUACAAUAAUUUUAACAUUGUUAUUUCUCAAGAUAUCUAGUACCUUAUGGGGACCUGUGCACUAGUCUGAAAAUUUACCUUUACUGGAUCAAGGUGUAGGUCAAUCAGAAUCAAGCGCAUGUACAUGUGUUUUCAUAUCUUUCUUACGAAUACGUGAUCAUUCGUGCUUGCAUUGUCCAGAGGGAAUUUCGUAUAGUAGAAUCUUGAAUACCUUAUAUCUAAGAACUUUAUGGAAUCUUGUUAAGUCUUUCGUAUCCCUAUUGCUUCCUUCUAAAAGCGGAAUUUCCUUCAGACAAAUCACGUAACACAUAUAUACAUUAUUACUAUAUAUAUACAUCAUUAAUAUAUAUAUGUAUAUACAUAUACAAGCUCAGAUAAAUAAAAAGUGACUUUUAUCUUU